rnacentral:rRNA from 1 species
GACGAACGCUGGCGGCGCGCCUAACACAUGCAAGUCGAACGGAGCUGAGAGAAGCUUGCUUUUCUUAGCUUAGUGGCGAACGGGUGAGUAACGCGUGAGUAACCUGCCCUGGAGUGGGGGACAACAGUUGGGAACGACUGCUAAUACCGCAUAAGCCCACGAUCCGGCAUCGGAUUGAGGGAAAAGGAUUUAUUCGCUUCAGGAUGGACUCGCGUCCAAUUAGCUAGUUGGUGAGGUAACGGCCCACCAAGGCGACGAUUGGUAGCCGGACUGAGAGGUUGAACGGCCACAUUGGGACUGAGACACGGCCCAGACUCCUACGGGAGGCAGCAGUGGGGGAUAUUGCACAAUGGGGGAAACCCUGAUGCAGCGACGCCGCGUGGAGGAAGAAGGUUUUCGGAUUGUAAACUCCUGUCGUUAGGGACGAUAAUGACGGUACCUAACAAGAAAGCACCGGCUAACUACGUG